rnacentral:rRNA from 1 species
GACGAACGCUGGCGGCGUGCUUAACACAUGCAAGUCGAACGGAAAGGCCCUGCUUUUGUGGGGUGCUCGAGUGGCGAUCGGGUGAGUAACACGUGAGUAACCUGCCCUUGACUUUGGGAUAACUUCAGGAAACUGGGGCUAAUACCGGAUAGGAGCUCCUGCUGCAUGGUGGGGGUUGGAAAGUUUCGGCGGUUGGGGAUGGACUCGCGGCUUAUCAGCUUGUUGGUGGGGUAGUGGCUUACCAAGGCUUUGACGGGUAGCCGGCCUGAGAGGGUGACCGGCCACAUUGGGACUGAGGUACGGCCCAGACUCCUACGGGAGGCAGCAGUGGGGAAUAUUGCACAAUGGGCGGAAGCCUGAUGCAGCAACGCCGCGUGCGGGAUGACGGCCUUCGGGUUGUAAACCGCUUUCGCCUGUGACGAAGCGUGAGUGACGGUAAUGGGUAAAGAAGCACCGGCUAACUACGUG